GAGCAUGUGCGUUACCACUGCAGAGCAGACAUCCAACGACAACAGACGUGUUUUGCAACCGCUGCUACUUUGACGACUUUUCUACAUCCCUGAAUCAAAGUCCAGAAUUUCGACAUGAAGAGCCUCCGCAUUCUGUUGAUCGUUCUCAUCGUUGUUGCAGUCGCCUCGCAGUGCUGCGGACAAACAACUGAUACCCUCACCACUGCUACUGAUUCCUCUGCCACCGAUGCAACAACAACUUCUGGCAGUGCUGUUGUCCAUGCCAGCCUGGGCAUGCUCUGUGCUGCUGCCUUCAUGACUCUUCUCCAGUUAUAGAACAUGGUAGACAGUUGUCUAUACAAUCAUUGCUACUUCACCCAACUAAAGGCACUGCCUAAUUCAGAUAGCACUGGCUCUAUGAGUACAUGAUUUUUCGAGUGAAGGCUACUGUCAGUUUAGAAAUCGAAGCACAAGCAUGAUCAUUGGCUUACUAAGAGUCAGUGCCAUGGAAGUAAGAAGAAUUAUGUUGCGUUGAUUUUUUUUAAAAGCUGAGGUGGCCUGAAGAAAAUAAUGCUCAACAGAACCGUGUGUCAGACAAGGCUCCAUGCCAUGUGAAAUGUUGUGUUGAUAUGAAGACUGAUAACCAUGAUCUUUGCAUGUUUGGAAAGAUGACAAUUUGAUGUUCCUGAGUUAUAAUAAAGGAGAGGCUAUACCUUGUAUAUGCCCC